rnacentral:rRNA from 1 species
GUGUCAGCCGCCGCGGUAAUACAGAGGGUGCAAGCGUUAUUCGGAAUUAUUGGGCGUAAAGAGCGCGUAGGUGGUUCGAUAAGUUUGAUGUGAAAUCCCUGGACUUAAUCCAGGAAGCGCAUUGAAUACUGUCGAACUAGAGUGCAGGAGAGGCGAGCGGAAUUCCUGGUGUAGAGGUGAAAUUCGUAGAUAUCAGGAGGAACAACAGUGGCGAAGGCGGCUCACUGGACUGCAACUGACACUGAGGCGCGAAAGCGUGGGGAGCAAACAGGAUUAGAUACCCGUGUAGUCC